AGAGUUUGAUCAUGGCUCAGAUUGAACGCUGGCGGAAUGCUUUACACAUGCAAGUCGAACGGCAGCACGGGGCAACCUGGUGGCGAGUGGCGAACGGGUGAGUAAUACAUCGGAACGUGCCCAAUCGUGGGGGAUAACGUAGCGAAAGUUACGCUAAUACCGCAUACGAUCUACGGAUGAAAGCGGGGGAUCGCAAGACCUCGCGCGAAUGGAGCGGCCGAUGUCAGAUUAGGUAGUUGGUGGGGUAAAGGCUCACCAAGCCAACGAUCUGUAGCUGGUCUGAGAGGACGACCAGCCACACUGGAACUGAGACACGGUCCAGACUCCUACGGGAGGCAGCAGUGGGGAAUUUUGGACAAUGGGCGCAAGCCUGAUCCAGCCAUUCCGCGUGCAGGAUGAAGGCCUCGGGUUGUAAACUGCUUUUGUACGGAACGAAACGGCGAGCUCUAAUACAGUUUGCUAAUGACGGUACCGUAAGAAUAAGCACCGGCUAACUACGUG
rnacentral:rRNA from 1 species